rnacentral:rRNA from 1 species
AACGAACGCUGGCGGCAGGCCUAAAACAUGCAAGUCGAACGCCCCGCAAGGGGAGUGGCGCACGGGUGAGUAACGCGUGGGAACGUGCCCUUCAGUACGGGACAACGUCGGGAAACUGACGCUAAUACCGUAUAAUAUCUCCGGAUCAAAGAUUUAUCGCUGAGGGAGCGGCCCGCGUCUGAUUAGCUAGUUGGUGAGGUAAUGGCUCACCAAGGCUACGAUCAGUAGCAGGUCUGAGAGGAUGAUCUGCCACACGGGGACUGAGACACGGCCCAGACUCCUACGGGAGGCAGCAGUUAGGAAUAUUGGACAAUGGGGGAAACCCUGAUCCAGCCAUGCCGCGUGUGUGAUGAAGGCCCUAGGGUUGUAAAGCACUUUCGUUGGGGAUGAUAAUGACCGUACCCAAAGAAGAAGCCACGGCUAAAUUCGUGCCAGCCGCCGCGGUAA